AGAGUUUGAUCCUGGCUCAGAUUGAACGCUGGCGGCACGCUUAACACWSYAAGUCGAACGGCAGCGGGAGAAAGCUUGCUUUCUCGCYKGCGAGUGGCGGACGGGUGCGUAAUGCGUAGGAACUUGCCCUGAAGAGGGGGACAACCCGGGGAAACUCGGGCUAAAACCGCAUAAUCUUUUCGAAGCAAAGCCGGCUACUUGUAGCUGGUACUUUAGGAGAGGCCUACGUUGGAUUAGCUUGUUGGUGGGGUAAAGGCUCACCAAGGCGAUGAUCCAUAGCUGUUCUGAGAGGAAGAUCAGCCACACUGGGACUGAGACACGGCCCAGACUCCUACGGGAGGCAGCAGUGGGGAAUAUUGGACAAUGGGGGCAACCCUGAUCCAGCGAUGCCGCGUGUGUGAAGAAGGCCUGCGGGUUGUAAAGCACUUUUAAUGGGGAGGAAUAGUUCCAUGUUGAUAGCAUGGAGCAGUGACGUUACCCAUAGAAUAAGCACCGGCAAACUCUGUGCCAGCAGCCGCGGUAAUACAGAGGGUGCGAGCGUUAAUCGGAAUGACUGGGCGUAAAGGGCACGUAGGCGGUUAGACAAGUUAGAUGUGAAAUAUCAGGGCUUAACCUUGGUGCUGCAUCUAAAACUGUUUGACUAGAGUUCAUUAGAGGGAAGCGGAAUUUCCGGCGUAGCGGUGAAAUGCGUAGAUAUCGGAGGACAUCAGUGGCGAGGCGCUUUCUGAUGACUGACGCUAGUGCGAAGCGUGGGGAGCGACGGAUUAGAUACCCGGUAGUCACGCUGUAAACGAUGAGUACUAGCUGUUGGAAUGCGACGACAUUUUAGUAGCGUAGUUAACGCGAUAAGUACUCCGCCUGGGGAUUACGGCCGCAAGGCUAAAACUCAAAGGAAUUGACGGGGGCCCGCACAAGCGGUGGAACAUGUGGUUUAAUUCGAUGCAACGCGAAGAACCUUACCUACUCUUGACAUCUAUGGAACAUCUGAGAGAUCAGUUGGUGCUGGAAACAGAACCAUAAGACAGGUGCUGCAUGGCUGUCGUCAGCUCGUGUCGUGAGAUGUUGGGUUAAGUCCCGUAACGAGCGCAACCCUUGUCCUUAGUUGCCAGCACAUUAUGGUGGGGACUCUAAGGAGACUGCCGGUGAUAAGCCGGAGGAAGGUGGGGAUGACGUCAAGUCAUCAUGGCCUUUAUGAGUAGGGCUACACACGUGUUACAAUGGGCAGUACAGAGGGAGGCUAAGCCGUGAGGUGGAGCGGAACUCAGAAAACUGUUCGUAGUCCGGAUUGAAGUCUGCAAUUCGACUUCAUGAAGUUGRRRAUCGCUAGUAAUCGCGAAUCAGAACGUCGCGGUGAAUACGUUCCCGGGCCUUGUACACACCGCCCGUCACWCACUGGGAGUGGGUUGCAAAAGAAGUGGGUAGCUUAACAUUGRRCGCUCACCACUUUGUGAUUCAUGACUGGGGUGAAGUCGUAACAAGGUAACC
rnacentral:rRNA from 1 species